GAUGAACGCUAGCGGCAGGCUUAACACAUGCAAGUCGAGGGGUAUGCCGAUUUAUCGGCAGAGACCGGCGCACGGGUGCGUAACGCGUAUGCAAUCUACCUUUCACAGAGGGAUAGCCCAGAGAAAUUUGGAUUAAUACCUCAUAGUAUAGCAGUUUCGCAUGUAACCACUAUUAAAGUUCCAACGGUGAAAGAUGAGCAUGCGUCCCAUUAGCUAGAUGGUAAGGUAACGGCUUACCAUGGCUACGAUGGGUAGGGUCCUGAGAGGGAGAUCCCCCACACUGGUACUGAGACACGGACCAGACUCCUACGGGAGGCAGCAGUGAGGAAUAUUGGUCAAUGGACGCAAGUCUGAACCAGCCAUGCCGCGUGCAGGAUGACGGUCCUAUGGAUUGUAAACUGACUUUUUGUACGAGAAGAACACAUUACGUGUAAUGUCUUGACGGUAU
rnacentral:rRNA from 1 species